GGAGGACUUAACCUUGCAAAGUAAUUAUUGCAGUUUAUAAAAACUGCAAUAAUUACACUUGCAGGGUUAAGGGUGAUGGGAGUUGGCACCCAGACCACACUAAUGGGCUGAAGUGGUCUGGGUACCUACAGUGUCCCUUUAAGUUGUUUUCUUGAGUUAAGAAGCGAGAAAAAAUAUUAACAACACAUGGUCUCUCUGGGCUUCUUUACAGUAUUUUGUCAAACUGAUAUAGUUUUUUGCAUUACAAAAUGAGUCAUUUUAGUUCGCAACCAGUUGGAUUUUUGUGCUGGUUUCAU